rnacentral:lncRNA from 1 species
CACCGUAGCCCCAUCUUCCUCUCCCCUCUCCCAGCCAGUUCCACUCUCUCCAUCGUCCGCUGACAGCCUCUCCAGCCGCCGCCUCCCGUGGCCUUGGGAAAGCCGAUCGGAGAGAAACCCCCACAGACCCAGCAGCGCCGUCCACACUCCCUCGGCCGGCUACCAACAGCAACGGAGAAGCAGCUCCACAGAACCGGCCUCCA